UACGGAGGGUGCAAGCGUUGUCCGGAUUUAUUGGGUUUAAAGGGUGCGUAGGCGGCCCGUUAAGUCAGUGGUGAAAGCCUCCAGCUCAACUGGAGAACUGCCAUUGAUACUGGCGGGCUUGAGUACAGACGAGGUUGGCGGAAUUGAUUGUGUAGCGGUGAAAUGCGUAGAUAUCAAGAGGAACACCUGAGGUGAAGACGGGUUGCUAGGCUGACACUGACGCUGAGGCACGAAAGCCAGGGGAGCAAACGGG
rnacentral:rRNA from 1 species